rnacentral:lncRNA from 1 species
UGAAGUGGGUUGUGAGACGCACUCAUAAGGUAUACUUGUGAAGAAGAUUUACAUCUAUUUCAUCGUUGUUAUGGUACUUUUGUUGGCAGAUAUUAUUUUGAAGGUUGUUGAAAGUUGUGGCUUCUAGCAUGAUAUUCUAUGCCGUGCUUUGAAUAUCAUAAUCAUAUCACCAAGCAUAUGUGAUUUUUCACAAAUGGGAUAGUAUAAGAGACUAUUUUU